AGACUGGUAAGUUAAAUUAAACUGUGGGGUUCAUGUCUCCAUUUUACACUUAUGUGUCUAGUUGA
rnacentral:tRNA from 1 species